CCCUUAGAUGUUCUGGGCCGCACGCGCGCUACACUGAUGCAUUCAACGAGCACUAACCUGUGCCGAAAGGUUCGGGUAAUCUUGUGAAAUUUCAUCGUGAUGGGGAUUGAUUAUUGCAAUUUUUAAUCAUAAACGAGGAAUGCCUAGUAAGCGUGAGUCAUCAGCUCACGUUGAUUACGUCCCUGCCCUUUGUACACACCGCCCGUCGCUCCUACCGAUUGAAUGUGCCAGUGAAAAGUUCGGAUUGGAGAUAGGAAACGGCAACGUAUCCUAUUUCCGAGAAAAUCUUUAAACUUUCCCAUUUAGAGGAAGGAGAAGUCGUAACA
rnacentral:rRNA from 1 species